GUAGGCUUUUUAAAAAGUUCAUCAACUGCUCUUUAUCUGCUGACCAAGAAGCACCAUCAAUAGCUACAGCAAAUUGUGAAAAAAUGCCAAAUCCCCAUGUUACUUGACACCCACAGUUACAAUCAUUCUCCUCACGGAAUUCUCGUUCAUUUUAUCUCAAAUAACUGAGAUCACAGACCAUACAAAUUAAUUCCAGUCAGUAAAAUGCAAAAAAAAAGAGUAAAUGUACACCAAAAACCUCUGAAAGCAGAACAUUGAUUAAGAAGUCAGAACUACAUGACAAAAGAGGUGGGUGGGUGCACGCGCACACACAUGCAUGUGCAGAAACACAGAAGCUGCCUUAUAUCAAGUCCAACCAUUAAUCUACCUAGCUCAAUAGUGCCUACACUGACUGGCAGCAGCACUUCAUGGUUUCAGCUAGAGAGCCUUUACAGCCCUGCCAGGAGAAGCCAGGAAUUGAAGCAAUGACCUUCCACACACAAAGCAUGAGGUCUACCAUUCAGCUAUGGUCUAUUCACAUCUAGCAAGAAAGGAUGGAUAGCUGCUCAUCACUUCUGGUCCACAGCGUCAAGAUGAGAAAUGCUACCUCUUAAUUUUCUGGAAAGUUUUAAUUAGUGUACUCCAAAGGCAAGGUAGCUGUGCAGCCCAACACAAUGCAUAUUACUUGGACACAAGUCCCCCUGAUUUCAUUGCAAUUUACUGCCCUGCAAGCAUGCUGAGAAUCAUAACCUUUGAACAUUAAAGUUCGUCACAAUUUGAACCGCAAGAGAAAUAACAACAAGGAGAAAAGUGACAGUGAGGAAGGUAAGAAGGUAAAAUAACACAGUCUGAAAUUAGCAGUUUCACUAGAAACAAGACAUUACUGUUGGUGCCCUUUUGUUCUAUAUAUUUGUAAAGUAGCACCUCCAAGUGGUAAAGCUCAUUAUUGCCAGCUGCUUCCACAUCAUUCAAUAAACAGUGAAAAAGAGGGAAGAGAGUUAAGUCAUUCGGCCAAGACUACAAGAGGGGCAAGGGAGAAUGAGGCAAGGUUCUAACCUGACACAAGAAGGUAGAUUUCUCCUUCCUUUCACUGCUCACACAGGUAAGUGAAAGUGUACCAUGGUUCCCCAGACCAACACUCCAACAAACCAUGAUUUCUUGCAUGAAUUCAGAUUACUGGAUUGCUUAACAGAUGAUAUUUAUGAUAUUUUCUGAAGCUCAUAAAACUUUAAUUUCUGAAAACUUGCCUACAGUUCAUAUCAUGUGUAUUGUACUUUCUAGAUGGUUCCAGACAAAGUUCUGUUUUACAAAGAACACAUUGGCCACAGUCGAACAUGGCUGGGCUGGGGAAAGGGAAGGGCAAUACAGAGCACAUGAUGUCCAUGAAGAAAGUCCCCAGGUUCAAUCCACGCUGUCCGUAGGGUUAAUAAUAAUAAUAAAAUAAUAAAAUUUUAUUUAUAUCCCGCUCUCCCCAGCCGAAGCCAGACUCAGACUGCUUUGUGAUCUUUUCUGAUAAAAAAGCUGUCUAUAAAUACUUGAAAUAAAUAAUAUACUCAGGUAAAGGUAAAAGGAAAGGUAAAGGACCACUGGACGGUUAAGUCCAGUCAACUAUGGAGUGAGGUGCUCAUCUCCGCUUUCAGGCCGAGGGAGCCAACGUUUUUCUGCAGACAGCUUUCAAGGUCAUGUGGCCAGCAUGACUAAGCCACUGGCGCAACAGGACACUGUGAAGGAAACCAGAGCGCACGAAAAUGCCAUUUACCUUCCCACUGCAGCGGUACCUAUUUAUCUACUCGUGCUGGUAUGCUUUCAAAAUGCAAGGUUGGCAGGAGCCGGGACAAGGCAACAGGAUCUCACCCUGUUACACAGAUUCGAACUGCUGACCUUAUGAUCUGCAAGCCCAAGAGGCUCAGAGGUUUAGACCACAGCGCCACCUGCACUAGGUACACUGAUUUCAGUAGGUGUGACUGUGAGGCAUGACUAAGGUUGUGUGGCAUUGACUAAGGUCCUCUUUCUUGGUAAGCAACUCUUUGUUGCCUAAAAUACAUCUGGGCACAAAACAACCCUGCAGUUAAAAGAGUCUGCAAUCUUUUGGUUAGGUUUUUUUUUGGGGGGGGUAAUACGUUUUCUACAGCUAAACAUCUUGAAAUGAUUUUGCUUGAUAAGAAAAAAGUCCAGUGUGAUGCUAACCUCCCAGUUUGCCCCAGCUUAAGCAGGAAUCCUGAACUCAGUAGUCUGCAGUAAUCCCUUGAAACCAGCCAGUUUCCAAGCCACAUUUUGAAUACAUAGUUUUUGGACGAUAGCCUGUUAAAAAUAGUCAGUUCCUCACCACAUGAGAGCAAUUGUUCAUCGGUUCUGGAAGAGCCGUAGCCUCACUCACAGUCACGGUUCAUUUAAGACGCUAGAAUUCAUGGUCCAUAUGAAACAAUUAACCAUGUCUUUGCUUCUCAGGCAAUAAUAAGGCGAACAAGUCAAUGGCUAGAAUGGGGAUGAAGCCAGUGAAAUGUGGGCUGUUAUGUAUCACUGCUGAUGGAAUUGCUGGUAGAGCUCCCAGAUACCAAGCUGGCCUCUGAAGUCAUGCAGAAGCAAUUUCUCAAAACAGGAAACCAAUGUAACUCUGGGGAAUACUUCCGCAGGUUAGCACAAUCAGUAACAGAUUGGCCCACCAAGAAAGCUCUUGAAUCUGGUGUUAUGGCGUGCUGAAACAGAAAGCAAGAUGGCAAUUUGGCAAUGGUCGAGUGGGUAGGUUUGCUUGUUGAACAAACAGCCUGGCUUUCUGAUGCAACGCAGCUGGAACUAAUUUUGAAAGGCGUGAAUAUAACUUAGUGUAAUGCUGAUGAUGAAGUAGACUUUAGUCCAUGAACCCUUUAUGCCAAAAUAAUUUUGUUAGUAUUUAAGGUGUCACAAUACAUUUUGCUAUUGUUAAUAUAAUGGGAAUGUGUACUACUUUUAUCCUACUUGAUGGACUGCAUUCAGUAUUGGCCACAUUCCAGUAGUGCAAGUUGGCACCACACAGAUGCUUUUUUGGCAGUUGGAAGCUAGUGUUCUGCAACAGAGACUAACAUGAACACUGGCUUAUACCGAAUCAGUCCAUUGGUUGAUCCAGCUCAGUAUUGUCUGCCCUGACUGGCAGUGACUUUCCAGGAUUAUAAACUAAGGCCUCUGCCAGCAACACCUGGAGAUGCCAGAAUCUGAAUAUGGAAUCUUCUGCACACAAAGCAGAUAUUCUGUCCUUGUGCUAUGCCCAUUAAGGGAGACAGGGCAGAAAUUCAGAAUCAAUAAUAUGUGCUUGAGUCUCAUUUGUCACACGCUUUUCUGAGAGUGUAGAGAGAUGCAUCGCGACUAGUUAUUUUUAAAAAAAUGAAAUAUGCCUGUGCACAAAAAAGAACGAAUGAAUUCUGGAACUGAAAUUAAUUUCCCCCCAAAAGUUCUCCUCAGAUUUUGCUGCCAAAUACAUAUUGGAAAUUAUUAGGAUGCUCAACAUUACCCCCUAGUUGAUAUUGAAUAGCAUUUGAUUGUUCACUUGCAAAGGUAUUUUGUAUCAUUUGAAAGUGGAGAGCAUUCAAUAUUUGGUCUCUUCCCAUCAAAACAACCAAGAGAAGGCACCAGCAAAAUCAAAGCACUUUUCCAGAUGAAGGAAAAGCAGGUAGGGCCCCAGGUGCGGGCUGUUUAAAUGGCCAGGGUGUGGACCCAAGGGAAGCCUUCCUGCUCCUUUGGCUCCGCCCCUGGCCCAGCCCAUGUCUAAGCCUAAACCCCCAUUUACCAAUCCCAGGUGCAGGCUAGUAUCCAGCUCCUGAAAGGUGGCACGGGUUUACACCUACACCACCUAUCCAGACAGGACACCAAUGCUGUGAUUCCCUUGUCAGGGCCUUAGGAGAGCCCUCGCUGUCCCACAAUGACGCCCCACCGGACUUCCGGGUUAGCGCCUCCGGCAAUGGCGGAAUUCCUCUGAUCUGGAGGAACCCGCUCCGUGGAAAUCAGGGUCUGGCCACCACGGCGAAGGCGGAGACCCACCAAAAACCACAAGCAGGAGAAGCCUGUGGACGUGGGAUUCGGCUGGCACCUUUUGCGCCCCCCCACUCGCGGGGAAACCCGGUUUCGGGGGUCCGGAGCGACGUGGGGUGAGUGGCGCGGUGCUUUGAAUCGACUGCUUCUUUCACGGAGUGAAGCCGCAUUGCCGUUGCCGGAGAGCGCUGACUUUCUUCCUGUGGACAAUUGGACUUUAAACAACUACCCGUGAGUAGAACGGAAAAUUGGACCUUUAAACAUCUUAAUUCGGCACCGAAACGGGAAGGUUUCAAACAGGAAGUCCGCCUUCCUCUUUUGUAAAUAGAUAGAGCAAAGACGCUGCAAGCUAAAGUCUUGGAGAGCCUUUUGUAAAGGACUAAAUUUCCAUCAGUUAAAAUUAUUAAACCCCCCUUGGAAGCAGGAGAAGAGGGGGAAAAUUUUAGACUGCCAAAGCCUGCAGGAGAGAGAGUGAAGAAAGACAAAUCACCACCGUUUUGAACCUGGGAUCGGGCUGUCAGUAAGUUUGACGUUUUGGGAAAGUCCAUUGACUGUGAAUAAAACGUAUGUUGACAGAUAGUUAAAUAAUAUAAAUAUAUGGUUUCCAUUGCUUCCUUUUGCACUUAAAAAGGAGCAAAAGUAACUGAAAGAUUGAAACUAACUUUGCUGCUGGAUCUGUGUUUAAAAGGACGGAUACAAAUAGAAAUUGUUUCCUCUAGAGGGAGCUUUUAAAACUGUUGCAUUCCAGCUGCAGAGAUAAAAGACCGUGAGAAUCAGAGAUUGACCUUGGACAAGAAUGUCAACAGAAGAAGCCUUAGUGAUUGCAUUUUGCAAGACAAGUGCUUUAUUGGAACAGCUUCAUGAGAAGAUGGAUGUGAUGGCUAUUAAAACUGAUAAUUUGGGACAAAAAAUGACUGAUUUGGGACAAGAAGUGAAUAUCUAUACAGAAACUACUCAGGAACCGAUCCAGGAAUCUACUUCGACAUGGCAAGUUGUGGAGAAGACAAGGGAAAAAGUUAUUCUAGAAUCUCAAGUAAUACAAGUGGAGAGAGCCUCAGUCUUACAGAGACAAUUUGAUGAAUAUAAGCUGUUGCCUUCUAUGUUUGAAUUUAGAGAAAGCCAAUUGAAACACGUCCUGAAAUAUCUUUUGGACUCUAGUUUUGAUUAUGGAGAAUGGGCUGACCAGUCGAGAAGGAAUAAAGACAUUGUUAGGUUGGAGCUUCCCCGAGAUCUACUCCUCAAUGUCAAAGGAAGGAAAUUAAGAAUAAGAUCAGCAGAAGAUAAAGUAAAGUGUAUGUAUAAAUAUGAAGAAGAUCUGCAGAAGGGACAUGGAAAAGAGUUAAGAGCCUCGGACAGAAGAUCACCAGGUUGAUGGACCAUAUGGAUUGAUAGAAAGGACUGGCAGAAUCCGAGACCAGGGAGAAGAGACGGUGGAAGAAGAUUGGAAAAAGUUUUAAAAAUUUAUUUAUAGAAACAUUGUAAAAUUAAUGAGUGUUAGAAAAAUGUUGGAAUGAAAAUACACGGCUUUAGUAGAAAUGUUAUAAGGAGUUAAGUACAAAUAAGUUUCAGGGUAUUAAUGGUAAGAUAAGGUUAAAAUAAAUUAUGAUAAUUAUAUGAUAGAAAAUAGUGAAAGAUGGAAAGGAUUUGCUGAAACAAUUAAUAACUAGAACACAAAAAAGGAGGUGUGAGGAGGUCGAUGAAACAUGUUAAUGAAAGACAAAGAUAUGGAAAUAUUGGAUGUGUUUUUAAUUGUUUUUGCUUUUGUUUUGAUGUAUUGUCUUUUGUUUUUUGUUUUUUUAUGUAUAGUAUUGAUUUGCAUUGUUUAUUUUUUCUUUCUUUUUUUCCUUCUGUAAUCUUUAAACCUUUAAUAAAUAUUAUUUAUAAAAAAAAACCACAAUGAUGCCCCACCAAGAGGGUGAGCAAAUCCUUGUGCUGCAAAUCCUGAGGUAAAUUUUUACUUUAGAAUUUGAAUUUAAAAGUUUAAAUUAUUCCAUUCAACAUUUGAAUAAUUAAUUCUGAGAUAUGGCCAAAAAAAGAGAAUUAUCUCAUCUCUAAUUCAUACCUGACUAGAUUCUAUGCUUCUUUGGAGAUCAUAAGAAUGGCCUCAUUGCUACAAUCAUCAGCUGUUAUUUAUCUUUCUUUUCUGUACAGCUCCUAAGCUCUGUAGUCCUUACUUGAAAUUAAUACUUGAAAUUUAAAAAAAAACAUUAAAAAGAAAUCAAGCAUUGGCCUGCUGGAUCAGACCAAGGGUUCAUCUAGCCUAGCAUUCUGAUUCCAGCAGAUGCCUGCUACAUCCCUCUGGGAAGCUCACAAGCAAAGCAUGAAGGUGAUGACUCUCUUCUGCUGCUUGUUCCCAACAGCUGAUACUCAGGAGUUAUGCUGUCUCUGAAACAAGAGGUUUCAGUUUAGCCAUCUAAGCUACUUGGUCCAGCAUGAAGAAGAUCUGGGCAGAGUCAUGCAGCCCUUCAGAAUGUCCAUUUCCUCAGUCUGCUUUAAGCUCUCUCUCUGUCUCUUGUCUGCUGCAUGCUAAAAUAUCCUUCUUGUCCUUAUGAUGCUAAAGGAAAGGUUAAAAAUGGAACUUGAGACCAAUUAGCAUACACAUUACAAUUUAGCUGUGUGAUUUACGAGCUUGGCCACAUUUUGUACUCUUUUGGAGAGCUUGAGUUCAGACCUUUUAUUCCUCUGUCAAGUUAAAUUUGUCUCCUUGGAAAGUUACUGGCGGGGGGGGGGGGCGGAGAAUGACUCAAUGCUAAUUUCAAUUAGAGGCAGAUGAAAGCCCAUUCAUAAAUAUUGCCUUGGACAGACUCACUUUUGCCUCUCGGUGCUGCUGACCUUGAAUAACCACCACACCCGCCCCCCAAUGGUUCAAAAAGAAACAGAAUUAAGGUUUUGCAAGCUCAUGUUCAUAUCAAAUAUAGCUGCCACUGCUCUAAUGUGUUAAAAAUUGCUGGACACAUAUAAUACAAAAAUUGUAAAAUUAGGUUUCAUUCUCUUAAAACCAUUUCCAACAAACAAAGCAAUUGCUUUCAAAUUCCUGCAAAUAAGCAUUUUUACCAUAAGUGCAUCAGAUUUUGAAGGAUGUCACUGCUGAUUGUGUUUCCUUUUCUGAACACAGCUGGACCAUUUCCCCCAGUUUGUUUCCAUAAAAGCAGAUGGAAUUGCAUAUUCCACCAGUUCUAGCAAUAUACAUCCUAAGCAAAAGGAGCUUGCUAUUUAAUGCCAAAGGUGACAUUAGUGGGUUAAAUGUUAUAGUCCUGGUCACCUGCUAAAUGAUUCCAUAAUCCUAACUCCAGUUUGUUAUAAGUAAGGUAAGCCCUGUUUCAACAAGGAAUUGCAAAGAGCUUCAGCCACACUGAGAGAAGUUAUGCACAAGUUCACCAAAGCGCAUAGACAAACCACAUGGGGAAGCAGGAUCACACCCUGCUAACCACCGGCCGCUGCUUCUACCUGCUUGUCAUAACAUACAAACUGUGGGUCACACCCUGGCACAGGAAGUGAUUAUGGUAGAAUACACCUCAAAUUUUACAAAUUAGUCAGGAACAGUUGGCAUUUGCAAACUAGCAAGUUAUUAUUAAGACAAAUUAGACUCCAGGAUAGCUCUGUAAGUAGAGCAUGAGACUCUUAAAUCUCAGGGUUGUGGGUUCAAGCCCUACAUUGGGCAAAAAAAUCCUGCAUUGCAGGGGGUUGGACUAGAUGACCCUCAUGUUUCCUCUCCCACUCUACAAUUCUGUAAUUCUAUAAGCAACUUGUUAUUCAUUUAUUGGUUCUGUUCAAACCAGUUGUUCCCAGAUUGGAAGGAAUCUAAUUAAUCUGUGUCACCAAGAAUGCAGGCAGCAGCUGCCACAUCACACCUCUCUUCAGCACCUUCCCCAAAUUGUUCAGUCUGCUAGUACAGAAAUUUGUAACUAAAGCAUUCACCUUUUGCUGCCACUGCUUUCUGCUUUUCCAUUCUUUUUUCUCAUUAAUAUCCCAGCUUGUCCUUUAAGAAGUUCAGAUACCAUCAUUGUGGUUUCCUCCAUUUUAUCAUCACAGGAACCACCUGAAAUAGGGUAGGUUGCAUAAUAAGGAUGCACCCAGGUGUGCUUCAUUGCUAAGCAGGAAUCUCAAGCCAGGUCAGUCCAAAGUGUUGGACUUGCAUUGGGAUCAAGUGCAACACUGUUUACUGCUAGUUCUCUUCAGGAAGCCUUUUUUUCUGGUCAAAGUACGAAUGACGCUACUUUGGGAGAAGUGGGCCCUUCAGUGGUCUAGGAGCCAUGGCAACAGCCCAUCUUGCUGCCCUUUGGAAUCAGCCGUGUUCACACAUAACGUGGCAACAAACUGAGGCUUGACACUGAUUGUACUCUGGUUAGGAAGCUGCAGUGAACCCCAGCUCUUGAGUGUACCUGAAUGAGACCAAGGGUGGCACUCAGCAUCGCCAAGUAUCCGCAGCUUGUGCCCAGAACCAAAGAACUCCAGUGGCCAGCAGCACUGCAUGGCAGGAGAAAAGGUGGCAGAUUUGCCUGAGAAUACCUGAUCCUCAGUUGGACCAUAUUUUCAGCUGACCUUUGCCUCCUAAUACCUGCGCAGUUUGACUUCUCUCGCCAGAAGGCAAGUCAGCAGACAUCGGUUGUAAUGGGAAAUAUGUAACUACUAUAAGAGCACUGCUCUACCGCUGAUAGGAAAAGAAAUGGCACUGAAAUAACAUCUCACAUAAGUACAGCCAUUGCCCCAGUUUGAAACAGACCUCUGCCUUCCAACUCAAGCUGGCCUAACUGUCAAAUUCUCCUUUUUUCUUUGUUUUGUUUUGCUUUGCUCCACUUUGCUGAGAAAACAACAUCAAUAUAGGGCUGGGAAUUCGCCGAGAAUUCAACUCUGAUCACCACAAUUCUGCACAUGGACAUUAUCAUCUAAAAUCCCCCUUUCUUUCCAAAUAAUGAUUGGCUUGGAUCCAAAGAAUCACAGAGUGUUCUGCGUAAGUUCCUCCAAGGGUAAGAGGAAGUUACAAUGGAUGCACAAGGACAUGGGGGCAGAAGCAGAAGAGGGACAUUGGCAGUAUCAGAAAAUCCUCACUGUCUCACACAGGGGACACUGGAUCCAAGCAAUUGUUUCAGAUGGCCUUAUGCAAACCACUUUUCACAGUUUCUGCCCACCAUCUGCAACAUGGUAGUAACAGUCCCCUGUUGGGAUAGAGAUUAAAGCACUCAAUAUACUAAGUUCGUCUCCUGCACCUGUUGGAUUUCUGACCCCUUUUCUGGUUUUGGUGCUGCCCUUUCAGCAUGUCUUAAUCACAAUAUUGGCUUCCAUUGCAGAGAUAAUGAUUGGCCCUGUAAAGCUGAACACUAAGAACUGAAAAAUCAGUGUUUAAAGUGAUUCCCAGUAACGACCACGGAGACAGUGGCCAAGUUUGGACACAGCACUAAACACUACAUGAAUUUGCCUAGCCUCCUCCCCAGCUCACAUACACUCUCCCUUCCUGUACAGCCAGGAGGAUUUUGAAAGCUUUUCCUCUUAUUUUUAGCUAUCCAUGGCUUCCUGUUUCAUCUGAACUUGGUACUGUGGUUUAGCACUGACCGUAGUCCAUUUGGAAAGAAGCCAGCUGCAAACUGCAGUUUAUUAAACUAGUUUGUUUUGAACCUCACCAUAGUUAGUGGUAACUACAAAUCUCAAUUCAGAUGACUCAAGAAGGCAUGGCUGACUUAAAACUAAGCAAUUCUGAAGUCAUCCUUCAAGCAGUGCAGAAUAAAGAGAGGGGAAGAAGAGCCCAGAAAGAGGUUUGGCUCAUUCAUGCAGUACCAAGCUGUGGUUCAGUGUUAUGUCUAAACAUGGUCAAUGUGUGUGAAACACUUGAUGAAACACUAUAUAACAAAGAAGCAGCCAUCCUUCCCAAUCUUUCAGCAACCUGGAGGAGUAUUUUAAGCCAAUGUGAAUGAACAUUCUGCCUACCACAAUGUUCUGAGGAACAAAGUGUGCUUUCAUUUGGCAAUUCAUUUUAAAACUCUAGAAGAAAUAGCCACUGCCCUCCCCCUGCCCACUCUGGGAGGGGGGAAGGUGUUGGGUCAUUUCCAGUAAUCAAAUGGAUGGUUCUGCUUCAUUGCAGAAAAAAAAUAAAAAGGAAACCUUCCACAUAGUCAUUUGGUUAGCACCAGUUUCUAUUAGGUAUGAGAAACAGUUUUCAGUUGCCUCUUUUCAAUGUGUCUAUGAAAUUAACAGCAUUUAUUGUUAUCCCAGAAUUUAGUUAGGGUCAUGGAGAGGAGGGGAUGAGCUUUCCACAUCUUACCAAAGAGACAUUUCGCAGAUGUUAGGCAAUUGAUUAACAAUGAAGCUGCAGUGUAAUAGCAGUGCACAUGAGUUUGGGGAAUUGUAACUUCCAGCUAUUUGGCUGUCUGACACCUUUUAUUGAUUACAAAAACAGACUCCUGCUCGUGAUAUCCUAACACAGUAUUUUAAUUACUGCUUUAUCCAGUGUCUGACUUUCAGUAUAUUGGCAGAAUCUUAAAUCCACACAGACAGAGCAAAAAAACUCAGGCUUGCCCACAGUACAUAGCCUGCCUAUGCCCAGCUAAUCUUUGUGCACAGAUUCUCCUAUUGCUUUGAGAUUGUUUUUUACUGCUCAGUUAUCCAGUUUCAUAUAGGAAAGCACCUUGCCCUUUCUGUUGGGCAACAGCGUGCAGUGAAAAAUUCCAAAACGUGACCCAAUUGAGUGCAUGUACUUCCCCUGCUUAGUCUAUGGUCAUUUAGAAUUGCAGCCCAACAGCAGAGAAAAAUGCAUUAUUUGAAAGCUGUGUAAGCUAGUUGGGGGGGGGAACCAUGCACACAUCAGAGAGGCUCCCUGGUGCAUGUAGAUCUAUUUAUAAAACACACACCUACAUCAUAUGUGAAGUAGCCUUUAGUCAUGCAAAUGGGGGGGGCAUUAACAAGCAUAUCAGAAUCAAUACCAUUAUUACUACAUUCAUUUUAUCUCACCCUUUCUCCAAGGAGCUCAGGAAGGGAUAGUGUAUGCAAUGUUCCCCUCUCCUUUCCUUUAUCCCUUACAACAACCCUGUGAGGUAGAGACAGGGAGUGGUCCAAGCUCACUCAGUAAGUAAGGUAUGUGAGGAUUUAAACGUGAACUUCCCCAGACUCUAGCUGCUACACCAUCAUGGCUCUCAAAAUAAACUCUUAUAAUGUGUUCUGCCCCCAAAUGGGUAUUGUGUUGUUUGUUAUGUUGCCCCCUAGUGUAUGUGUUUAGAACUAUUUCGAUUUUCCUUCUGCAACCCCAUUAGCAUCUGAUCAAUCCUUAGUAUCUAGUAUCUUCAGUUGGUUGCUCUUGUGUUGGUUAUCUAAUCCUGUUUAGACCUGGUUAAAACUGAUCGCCUCUGGCCUUCUCUGCCACACUGAGUUGCAGCCUGGUCAUCUGCAUUUGUAAAUUAUUUGCUGUUAAAAUUGAUUUCAAGCCAUUAAUAAAGCUGACGAUGGAUUUAAAUGGAAGUGUGGAUUAGAUGUGAGUUUAGCUGGCUAGAGUGUGUUGAUGAGGCCAGAACAUUACCCACAUAAAAGCUGACAAGUAGUUUUCUAGCAGAAACCUAAAACGAAGUAAAUCAAGGGUGAAAAACUGGUGGUCCACGUGCUGGAUCUGGCCCCUUUAAAACAUACCAGGUGUCCACAGAUAGUUUUGCCCAUCAGUGUGUUGAUCACCAAACUAGAGCAAAUGGUUGCAAUUCUAGGUAACCAUAGAUUGGGCAGUGGGAACGGGAAUGUGGUGUGAUGGAGAAACAAAGCAGCAAGCUAGAAAGCCAGAAAGGCAGAGUACUGGUUGGUUUCCGUUUGAAUCCAAGGUUCAAGCUAUGGGAGAAACACAACCAUUUUGGGGUGCUAAUGCUUUGAACCCCUCCAUCUUAGGCUCAGGUUGUAUAUAUGCAUAAAUAAAUCAGAUAUCAUGAAGACACCAUGGCCUCCACUGUGCCUCAUUGCCAAAAGGAAACACAGACACUGGGAUCUCACACCGCACAGAUUGGGGGUGUUAUUCAGCACCCACCUUUCUCCCCGACACAGUUCAAAGGCAUAACAGGCUCUGUCUUACAAUGUUGGAUCAAUGAGUUCUGGGGUGCAAAUCACUCCACACACUGGAAACGUCACCUACAUAUUAUAGCGUUAUUACAUUAGAGGAUGUGUAAUAAUGCUAUAUUUAUUUUUAGAAAUCAUUGACUGGUUUGCCAUGUAUUCUGGCUGCUCUUGACUCCUGUUAGCUUAAUUAACGUGCACUGCCUUAAACAAGCCAAGUAAAUUUUAUGUGCCAUGCAUUAUUUAAUCUUGAUGAGCUUUCUUCAAAAGAAAUAAAAUUUGACUACACUCCAAGUACUUUCAGUGCUGGAUAUUUUACAAAGCAGCAACAGGGUCACCACAUUCAGUAUGAAAGGAAAAUGGCGAUGAAGGAAGUCCAAAUGGGACUACCUCCUCUUCAAACUGGGGGCUAGUCCAUGCCUACAUGCUUGCCACUUGAGGAUGACAAUAUUAAGCGCUGGCUUCCAUGUCUGAACUGAAUUGCACAUCUCAGAUAAAAUACCCCAAAGCACAAUCAACUCCAUAUAUACGAGAUUUCACUACAAUCUAAUGAGUUGUAGGGGUGUGCAAAUGAUUGCACACUCUUGUACCACCAAAAUUGGUGAGUUAUGGGCAGCUAAACUAAAUAUAUGCAAUUGUUGAACAACAGAGGUGAGUACUGGCCGGCACACCAACUCAUAUAUUUUUUAAGAGUUAUUCAAUACUUACACUUUCAAAAUAUUCAGUUGCAAAAUACUCAACAAGGUUUGGGACUAACACCGAUCUAUCCAAGCUUCUGGGAACUCAUUAUCUAAUGGAAAGGUGGCUAGUUUAUUGGUUGUAUUAUCUGUGACAGCCUUCCCCAACCUAGUACCCUUCAAAUGGCUCCUGGAAAAUGCAGCUUGCUAAGGGUGCUGAGAUACCCUAAGCCUCCCUCAGAAAUGCACUUUCUAAACACAACUUGUUCUCAAGUUGCUGUAUAUGGUGGUGUUCUCCCUCCCUAUUUUAUAUUUAAAAUAGCCCUACAAGAUGGGUUAGGCUGAGAGUUGGUAACUGAUCUAUGCUAAUCCAGUGCUCUUUAAGGAGUCAUGAUGAUAGAGGUGGUUUUAAACUCAGGUCUUCCUGGUUUAAGUCCAAUACUCUGUUCACUACAACACACUACAGUUCCACAGGUUUUGCAUAAGAGAAGAAAUUACUAUUAAACCAAAGCAGAUGUGCCCAGAGAGAUAACAAGUUUGUGUAAUUGCCCAUGUCAUAUUGGCAUAUAUGAUCCUACAACAUACAUAAGUCAAUGAAUAGCUAUGAAGAAACGCCAUUAUUUUACCCACUGCCCAUUAGUUCACUCAUAUUGUUGAAAUGAAAGAUGAGCUAUUAUUAACUUUAUUUCUUUAUUUUAAAAAAAAUCCCCUUGUCCUCCCAAGUCUAUAAACGAAACACUUUCCUAUUUUUCACAGAACGUCCCUCCAACGGAACAGCGCAGAGGUGAUACCAUUCAAUUGUGUUCAGAAUUAAUGUAGCCUGAAAGCACUGCCUCACAGAGAAGACUGCAUGAAAUUGAACAGAAGGAUUGCUUUAUGUUAUAUCUUCUUAUACAGCAUGUUAUGCCUUGUGUUUCCUUCCAUACAGUAGUUUAUGUGGGGCAAGGAGAAAAAAAGUUUUUUUAAAAAAAUGGCUGCC